rnacentral:rRNA from 1 species
GUAGGUGGCAAGCGUUGUCCGGAAUUAUUGGGGCGUAAAGCGCGCGCAGGCGGGGUUCGUUUAAGUCUGAUGUGAAAGCCCACGGGCUCAACCGUGGAGGGUCAUUGGAAACUGGAGAACUUGAGUACAGAAGAGGAAAGCGGAAUUCCACGUGUAGCGGUGAAAUGCGUAGAGAUGUGGAGGAACACCAGUGGCGAAGGCGGCUUUCUGGUCUGUAACUGACGCUGAGGCGCGAAAGCGUGGGGAGCAAACAGGAUUAGAUACCCUGGUAGUCCACGCCGUAAACGAUGAGUGCUAAGUGUUAGGGGGGUUUCCGCCCCUUAGUGCUGCAGCUAACGCAUUAAGCACUCCGCCUGGGGAGUACGGCCGCAAGGCUG